rnacentral:misc_RNA from 1 species
GAAAUGCGAUAAGUAAUGUGAAUUGCAGAAUUCAGUGAAUCAUCGAAUCUUUGAACGCACCUUGCGCUCCUUGGUAUUCCGAGGAGCAUGCCUGUUUGAGUGUCAUUAAAUUCUCAAUCUUUACUGACUUUGUUUAAUUUCUUGAACAAAGAAAGUCAAAGGCUUGGAAGGUGGAGGUUGCUAGUUAUAUUUAUGGGACUAGCUCUUCUCAAAUACAUUAGCAGACAUCUAUGUGAAAUGUCUUAUUAAAUUGGUGUGAUAAUUUAUCGACGCCAACAAUUUGUAUAAGCAGGUUCCAUACAAAGUCCGCUUCUAACUGUCUUUUAUUUGACAAACUAUUACUAUGAUAAUUGUGACCUCAAAUCAGGUAGGGUUACCCGCUGAACUUAA